UUAUCAUGAGAACAGCAUGAGAGCAACUGCCCCCACAACCCAGUUUCUUCCACCUGGUCCUGCCCUUGACAUGUAGGGAUUACUACAGUUCAAGAUCUAUGCACCUGAAAGGGACCAUUUUGCCAACCAUUCUUUCAGAGAAGUGAGAAAACAACAAUCCAAAAUAAUAUUUUGUCUCACUCUGUAGCAGAAAACACAGUGGUACAAGCUCACUACAAACUAGAUUUCCUGGCCUCAAGGAACUCCCCCCACCUCAGCCUCCUGAGUAGCUGAGUCUACAAGCAUGCACCACCAUGCCUGGCUAAUUUUUCC
rnacentral:lncRNA from 13 species